rnacentral:lncRNA from 1 species
CUUACUUUCUAUGGCUUCCAACAAACUCCUGGCCACCAUUUUGGUGCUUUCUCUCCUCUCUUACUCAACAUUCACUCAUGCCAAUUGCCCACCACCCACUCCAUCUCCAAAGCCCACACCACCAACUCCAAUACCAACACCACCCACACCAAAGCCCACACCACCCACUCCAAAGCCCACACCACCAACUCCUAAGCCCACACCACCCACACCAAAUCCCACACCACCUACUCCAAAGCCUAGUUGUCCUCCUCCUUCUCCUCCUUCACCACCAUCAAACAAAGCCUCAUGCCCCAAGGACACAUUAAAGCUAGGUGCUUGUGCUGAUCUCUUAGGACUUGUUAACAUUAUUGUUGGAACUCCUCCUUCGA